AACGAACGCUGGCGGCAUGCCUAACACAUGCAAGUCGAACGAGACCUUCGGGUCUAGUGGCGCACGGGUGCGUAACGCGUGGGAACCUGCCCUUAGGUUCGGAAUAACUCCCCGAAAGGGGUGCUAAUACCGGAUAAUGUCUUCGGACCAAAGAUUUAUCGCCUUUGGAUGGGCCCGCGUUGGAUUAGCUAGUUGGUAGGGUAAAAGCCUACCAAGGCGACGAUCCAUAGCUGGUCUGAGAGGAUGAUCAGCCACACUGGGACUGAGACACGGCCCAGACUCCUACGGGAGGCAGCAGUGGGGAAUAUUGGACAAUGGGCGAAAGCCUGAUCCAGCAAUGCCGCGUGAGUGAUGAAGGCCUUAGGGUUGUAAAGCUCUUUUACCCGGGAUGAUAAUGACAGUCCCGGGAGAAUAAGCUCCGGCUAACUCCGUG
rnacentral:rRNA from 1 species